rnacentral:rRNA from 1 species
UAGUGAACCAGUACCGUGAGGGAAAGGCGAAAAGAACCCCGGCGAGGGGAGUGAAAAAGAACCUGAAACCGUGUACGUACAAGCAGUGGGAGCACCCUUUGGGGUGUGACUGCGUACCUUUUGUAUAAUGGGUCAGCGACUUAUAUUCUGUAGCAAGGUUAACCGAAUAGGGGAGCCGGAGGGAAACCGAGUCUUAACCGGGCGUUAAGUUGCAGGGUAUAGACCCGAAACCCGGUGAUCUAGCCAUGGGCAGGUUGAAGGUUGGGUAACACUAACUGGAGGACCGAACCGACUAAUGUUGAAAAAUUAGCGGAUGACCUGUGGCUGGGGGUGAAAGGCCAAUCAAACCGGGAGAUAGCUGGUUCUCCCCGAAAGCUAUUUAGGUAGCGCCUCGUGAAUUCAUCUCCGGGGGUAGAGCACUGUUUCGGCUAGGGGGCCAUCCCGGCUUACCAACCCGAUGCAAACUGCGAAUACCGGAGAAUGUUAUCACGGGAGACACACGGCGGGUGCUAACGUCCGUCGUGAAGAGGGAAACAACCCAGACCGCCAGCUAAGGUCCCAAAGUCAUGGUUAAGUGGGAAACGAUGUGGGAAGGCCCAGACAGCCAGGAUGUUGGCUUAGAAGCAGCCAUCAUUUAAAGAAAGCGUAAUAGCUCACUGGUCGAGUCGGCCUGCGCGGAAGAUGUAACGGGGCUAAACCAUGCACCGAAGCUGCGGCAGCGACACUAUGUGUUGUUGGGUAGGGGAGCGUUCUGUAAGCCUGCGAAGGUGGCCUGUGAGGGUUGCUGGAGGUAUCAGAAGUGCGAAUGCUGACAUAAGUAACGAUAAAGCGGGUGAAAAGCCCGCUCGCCGGAAGACCAAGGGUUCCUGUCCAACGUUAAUCGGGGCAGGGUGAGUCGACCCCUAAGGCGAGGCCGAAAGGCGUAGUCGAUGGGAAACGGGUUAAUAUUCCCGUACUUGGUGUUACUGCGAAGGGGGGACGGAGAAGGCUAUGUUGGCCGGGCGACGGUUGUCCCGGUUUAAGCGUGUAGGUGUGUGUUCCAGGUAAAUCCGGUUCACUUUAACACUGAGGCGUGAUGACGAGGCACUACGGUGCUGAAGCAACAAAUGCCCUGCUUCCAGGAAAAGCCUCUAAGCAUCAGGUAACAUCAAAUCGUACCCCAAACCGACACAGGUGGUCAGGUAGAGAAUACCAAGGCGCUUGAGAGAACUCGGGUGAAGGAACUAGGCAAAAUGGUGCCGUAACUUCGGGAGAAGGCACGCUGACACGUAGGUGAAGUGAUUUACUCAUGGAGCUGAAGUCAGUCGAAGAUACCAGCUGGCUGCAACUGUUUAUUAAAAACACAGCACUGUGCAAACACGAAAGUGGACGUAUACGGUGUGACGCCUGCCCGGUGCCGGAAGGUUAAUUGAUGGGGUCAGCGCAAGCGAAGCUCCUGAUCGAAGCCCCGGUAAACGGCGGCCGUAACUAUAACGGUCCUAAGGUAGCGAAAUUCCUUGUCGGGUAAGUUCCGACCUGCACGAAUGGCGUAAUGAUGGCCAGGCUGUCUCCACCCGAGACUCAGUGAAAUUGAACUCGCUGUGAAGAUGCAGUGUACCCGCGGCAAGACGGAAAGACCCCGUGAACCUUUACUAUAGCUUGACACUGAACAUUGAGCCUUGAUGUGUAGGAUAGGUGGGAGGCUUUGAAGUGUGGACGCCAGUCUGCAUGGAGCCGGCCUUGAAAUACCACCCUUUAAUGUUUGAUGUUCUAACGUGGACCCGUGAUCCGGGUUGCGGACAGUGUCUGGUGGGUAGUUUGACUGGGGCGGUCUCCUCCUAAAGAGUAACGGAGGAGCACGAAGGUUGGCUAAUCCUGGUCGGACAUCAGGAGGUUAGUGCAAUGGCAUAAGCCAGCUUGACUGCGAGCGUGACGGCGCGAGCAGGUGCGAAAGCAGGUCAUAGUGAUCCGGUGGUUCUGAAUGGAAGGGCCAUCGCUCAACGGAUAAAAGGUACUCCGGGGAUAACAGGCUGAUACCGCCCAAGAGUUCAUAUCGACGGCGGUGUUUGGCACCUCGAUGUCGGCUCAUCACAUCCUGGGGCUGAAGUAGGUCCCAAGGGUAUGGCUGUUCGCCAUUUAAAGUGGUACGCGAGCUGGGUUUAGAACGUCGUGAGACAGUUCGGUCCCUAUCUGCCGUGGGCGCUGGAGAACUGAGGGGGGCUGCUCCUAGUACGAGAGGACCGGAGUGGACGCAUCACUGGUGUUCGGGUUGUCAUGCCAAUGGCACUGCCCGGUAGCUAAAUGCGGAAGAGAUAAGUGCUGAAAGCAUCUAAGCACGAAACUUGCCCCGAGAUGAGUUCUCCCUGAGACUUAGAGUCUCCUGAAGGAACGUUGAAGACGACGACGUUGAUAGGCCGGGUGUGUAAGCGCAGCGAUGCGUUGAGCUAACCGGUACUAAUGAACCGUGAGGCUUAACCUUACA